CCUACGGGUGGCAGCAGUGAGGAAUAUUGGGCAAUGCCCGAAAGGGUGACCCAGCAACGCCGCGUGGAGGAUGAAUGCCGUAAGGUUGUAAACUCCUGUUAGAGGGGAAGAAAAAUCUCGAUCAAAUCGGGAACUGACUGUACCCUCAGAGAAAGCCCCGGCUAACUACGUGCCAGCAGCCGCGGUAAUACGUAGGGGGCAAGCGUUGCCCGGAUUCACUGGGUGGAAAGGGCGCGCAGACGGGUUAGCAGAAAGCCUACAGCUUAACUGUAGAACUGCCUUUGAGACUGCUAAUCUUGAGUACGGAAGAGAGAGAUGGAAUUCCAGGUGUAGCGGUGAAAUGCGUAGAUAUUGGGAGGAACACCGGUGGCGAAGGCGGCUUUCCGGACUAGUACUGACGCUGAGGCGCGAAAGCUAGGGGAGCGAACGGGAUUAGAUACCCCAGUAGUC
rnacentral:rRNA from 1 species